GUUGUAUGGUUAAGUGACUAAGCGUACACGGUGGAUGCCUGGGCAGUCAGAGGCGAUGAAGGACGUACUAACUUGCGAUAAGCGCAGAUAAGGCAGUAAGAGCCGUUUGAGUCUGCGAUUUCCGAAUGGGGAAACCCAACUGCAUAAGCAGUUACUGUUAACUGAAUACAUAGGUUAACAGAGCAAACCGGGGGAACUGAAACAUCUAAGUACCCCGAGGAGAAGAAAUCAACCGAGAUUCCGGUAGUAGCGGCGAGCGAACCUGGAUUAGCCCUUAAGCACUCGGUGAAGUAGGUGAACAAGCUGGAAAGCUUGGCGAUACAGGGUGAUAGCCCCGUAACCGACGCUUCAUCGAGCGUGAAAUCGAGUAGGGCGGGACACGUGAUAUCCUGUCUGAAUAUGGGGGGACCAUCCUCCAAGGCUAAAUACUCCUGACUGACCGAUAGUGAACCAGUACCGUGAGGGAAAGGCGAAAAGAACCCCUGUGAGGGGAGUGAAAUAGAACCUGAAACCGUGUACGUACAAGCAGUAGGAGCACCUUCGUGGUGUGACUGCGUACCUUUUGUAUAAUGGGUCAGCGACUUAUAUUCAGUGGCAAGGUUAACCGUAUAGGGGAGCCGUAGCGAAAGCGAGUCUUAACUGGGCGCUCAGUCUCUGGAUAUAGACCCGAAACCGGGUGAUCUAGCCAUGGGCAGGUUGAAGGUUGAGUAACAUCAACUGGAGGACCGAACCGACUAAUGUUGAAAAAUUAGCGGAUGACUUGUGGCUAGGGGUGAAAGGCCAAUCAAACUCGGAGAUAGCUGGUUCUCCCCGAAAGCUAUUUAGGUAGCGCCUCGGACGAAUACUACUGGGGGUAGAGCACUGUUAAGGCUAGGGGGUCAUCCCGACUUACCAACCCUUUGCAAACUCCGAAUACCAGUAAGUACUAUCCGGGAGACACACGGCGGGUGCUAACGUCCGUCGUGGAGAGGGAAACAACCCAGACCGCCAGCUAAGGUCCCAAAGUAUUGCUAAGUGGGAAACGAUGUGGGAAGGCUCAGACAGCUAGGAUGUUGGCUUAGAAGCAGCCAUCAUUUAAAGAAAGCGUAAUAGCUCACUAGUCGAGUCGGCCUGCGCGGAAGAUGUAACGGGGCUAAGCAAUACACCGAAGCUGCGGCAAUGAAGUUUACUUCAUUGGGUAGGGGAGCGUUCUGUAAGCCGUUGAAGGUGAAUCGUAAGGUUUGCUGGAGGUAUCAGAAGUGCGAAUGCUGACAUGAGUAACGACAAGGGGGGUGAAAAACCUCCCCGCCGGAAGACCAAGGGUUCCUGUCCAACGUUAAUCGGGGCAGGGUGAGUCGACCCCUAAGGCGAGGCCGAAAGGCGUAGUCGAUGGGAAACGGGUUAAUAUUCCCGUACUCAAUCAAAUUGCGAUGGGGGGACGGAGAAGGCUAGGUGGGCCAGGCGACGGUUGUCCUGGUUCAAGUGCGUAGGCUUAAGAGUUAGGUAAAUCCGGCUCUUUCUAAGGCUGAGACACGACGUCGAGCACCUACGGGUGUGAAGUCAUUGAUGCCAUGCUUCCAGGAAAAGCCUCUAAGCUUCAGAUUUGAUGGAAUCGUACCCCAAACCGACACAGGUGGUCGGGUAGAGAAUACCAAGGCGCUUGAGAGAACUCGGGUGAAGGAACUAGGCAAAAUGGUACCGUAACUUCGGGAGAAGGUACGCUCUUGAUGGUGAAGUCCCUCGCGGAUGGAGCUGACGAGAGUCGCAGAUACCAGGUGGCUGCAACUGUUUAUUAAAAACACAGCACUGUGCAAAAUCGCAAGAUGACGUAUACGGUGUGACGCCUGCCCGGUGCCGGAAGGUUAAUUGAUGGGGUUAGCGUAAGCGAAGCUCUUGAUCGAAGCCCCGGUAAACGGCGGCCGUAACUAUAACGGUCCUAAGGUAGCGAAAUUCCUUGUCGGGUAAGUUCCGACCUGCACGAAUGGCGUAAUGAUGGCCACGCUGUCUCCACCCGAGACUCAGUGAAAUUGAAAUCGCUGUGAAGAUGCAGUGUACCCGCGGCUAGACGGAAAGACCCCGUGAACCUUUACUACAGCUUGGCACUGAACAUUGAACCUACAUGUGUAGGAUAGGUGGGAGGCUAUGAAGACGUGACGCUAGUUGCGUUGGAGCCGUCCUUGAAAUACCACCCUUGUAUGUUUGAUGUUCUAACUUAGACCCAUUAUCUGGGUUGAGGACAGUGCCUGGUGGGUAGUUUGACUGGGGCGGUCUCCUCCCAAAGAGUAACGGAGGAGCACGAAGGUGGGCUAAUCACGGUUGGACAUCGUGAGGUUAGUGCAAUGGCAUAAGCCCGCUUAACUGCGAGAAUGACGGUUCGAGCAGGUGCGAAAGCAGGUCAUAGUGAUCCGGUGGUUCUGUAUGGAAGGGCCAUCGCUCAACGGAUAAAAGGUACUCCGGGGAUAACAGGCUGAUACCGCCCAAGAGUUCAUAUCGACGGCGGUGUUUGGCACCUCGAUGUCGGCUCAUCACAUCCUGGGGCUGAAGUCGGUCCCAAGGGUAUGGCUGUUCGCCAUUUAAAGUGGUACGCGAGCUGGGUUUAGAACGUCGUGAGACAGUUCGGUCCCUAUCUGCCGUGGGCGUUGGAAGAUUGAAGGGGGCUGCUCCUAGUACGAGAGGACCGGAGUGGACGAACCUCUGGUGUUCGGGUUGUGUCGCCAGACGCAUUGCCCGGUAGCUAAGUUCGGAAUCGAUAACCGCUGAAAGCAUCUAAGCGGGAAGCGAGCCCUGAGAUGAGUCUUCCCUGACAGUUUAACUGUCCUAAAGGGUUGUUCGAGACUAGAACGUUGAUAGGCAGGGUGUGUAAGCGUUGUGAGGCGUUGAGCUAACCUGUACUAAUUGCCCGUGAGGCUUAACCAUACAACACCCAAGGGGUUUUGUA
rnacentral:rRNA from 1 species